GGGCUGACCUCACCGGCCAUGUAAGUUUUCGGUUAAAUCUAUACGCUCAACGUAUAGGCUGCCGGGAAUACUGCAUAGCUAGGGAGUGGGAGAGGUAGACGGUACUCGGUAGGAAGGGGUAAAAUCCUUUGAUCUAUUGAUGACCACCUGUGGCGAAGGCGGUCUACUAGAACACGUCCGACGGUGAGGGAUGAAAGCUGGGGGAGCAAACCGGAUUAGAUACCCGGGUAGUCCCAGCUGUAAACAAUGCAAAUCAGUGAUGCACUGGCUUGUGGCCUAGUGCAGUGCCGCAGGGCAAGGCAGUU
rnacentral:rRNA from 1 species